rnacentral:rRNA from 1 species
GAUGAACGCUGGCGGCGUGCCUAAUACAUGCAAGUCGAACGCAUUGAGAGAAGUGCUUGCACUUUUCAAUUUGAGUGGCGAACGGGUGAGUAACACGUGGGCAACCUACCUGAUAGCGGGGGAUAACGAGUGGAAACAUUCGCUAAUACCGCAUAACAAUAGAGAAGGCACCUUCUUUAUUUAAAAGGCGCUUUCAAGCGUCACUAUCAGAUGGGCCCGCGGUGCAUUAGUUAGUUGGUGGGGUGAAGGCCUACCAAGACGAUGAUGCAUAGCCGAGUUGAGAGACUGAUCGGCCACAUUGGGACUGAGACACGGACCAAACUCCUACGGGAGGCUGCAGUAGGGAAUCUUCCACAAUGGACGAAAGUCUGAUGGAGCAACGCCGCGUGUGUGAUGAGGGCUUUCGGGUCGUAAAGCACUGUUGUAUGGGAAGAAAUGCUAGGCUAGGAAAUGAGCUUAGUUUGACGGUACCAUACCAGAAAGGGACGGCUAAAUACGUGCCAGCCGCCGCAGUAA